rnacentral:rRNA from 1 species
UAGGGAAUCUUCGGCAAUGGACGGAAGUCUGACCGAGCAACGCCGCGUGAGUGAAGAAGGUUUUCGGAUAGUAAAGCUCUGUUGUAAGAGAAGAACGAGUGUGAGAGUGGAAAGUUCACACUGUGACGGUAUCUUACCAGAAAGGGACGGCUAACUACGCGCCAGCAGCCGCGGUAAUACGUAGGUCCCGAGCGUCGUCCGGAUUUAUUGGGCGUAAAGCGCCUGUAGGUGGUUAUGUUAGUAUGAUGUGAAAAUGCAGGGCUCAACUCUGUAUUGCGUUGGAAACUGUAUGACUAGAGUAGAGGAGAGGUAAGCGGAACUACAAGUGUAGAGGUGAAAUUCGUAGAUAUUUGUAGGAAUGCCGAUGGGGAAGCCAGCUUACUGGACAGAUACUGACGAUAAAGCGCGAAAGCGUGGGUAGCAAACAGGAUUAGAUACCCUGGUAGUCCACUCCGUAAACGAUGAUUACUAGGUGUUGGGGGUCGAACCUCAGCGCCCAAGCUAACGCGAUAAGUAAUCCGCCUGGGGAGUACGUACGCAAGUAUG